rnacentral:lncRNA from 1 species
AUGACCCGGAGAAAGUGCUGGACCAACGGGGGGCUUGUACACACCCUCCCGGGGCGCAUUUCCAAAGUGUCUCAGCCGGAAGAGAAACGUAAUUAUCCGCGUUUCCCCAGAGAAGGGGACACACCCACCCUCCGGGGCCACAGGGAAAAACCUGUUUGGGGGCAAGAAGCAGAAAAUCGCAUGAGGCCCCCGAGUUUCCAUGGAAAAGGCGCGUUGGAACAGAGCACACGGGUCAGGGUUGUGCGGCCGGCGACCCUAAGGGCGGAGGCUGGGGUCCCAGGCACCCGCCCGCACGGAGCGUCCCCGCGACCCGACCCCGCGUGUUUGUGGCCGCCCAGUAGCGAGCGGCCGCCGGCACCGCCUUGCCAGCCCCGUGCCUCCAGCUCGAGCGUCCGCAUCACACUUCGGCGAUUCCCGCCGACAUUUGUCCUGGGGGCGUCUUUGCCGCGGUCCCCGCGGGGGCUCCGGCACCCACGCGGCGCUGAGCGUUCGGUCGCGCGGAAGCAGGUUUUGCUUAAGGUGCGCGCGGUGUUUCCGGCGUGGACGCAAGUGCACACCCAGUGCGCUGCAGCCUGCACCUCGCGCUCCUUCGCACUCGGGAACCGGACGGUUCCGGGACUCGCGCCCUGCGGCCUCACACAGCGUCGGCGCCCGCGUGCGGAGCGCGAGUCGCGGCGUCGGGGCCGCGGGCGCUGGCUCAGGGGGCGCCCGGCUGCGUGGAGACGCGUGCGCGCUCCCGGGGGCCUGUGUCCGCGUGGGCAUCGGCCUGCCUGUCAGCGAGCGUGCGGGGCCAAACGCGGGCGUGGGGACGCAGAGAGCAGGGAGACGGCGUCCUCGGGCCUGCGAGAAACGGCGGACAGACAGACCGACCGACGCCAGAGCUGGGGGCGGCGGCUGAGGAGCGAGGUCGCGGCGGUCCCCGCGGCUCACGGGCGGGGCGGGAAGGGCCCGGCCGCCGGCGGGAGGCGCUCGCACCAGGGCUGCGGCAGGGCGGCUCCGGGGCGCGUGUCACCCCGCUGCGGGCACGCGGCCGCCCCUCACGGGUGUCCCCGCGCACACGGGCCAGCGGGGGGGUGGGGGGGCCUCCGGACCGGGCGGCGGGGGCUGCGCUCCCUCAGGCGGCCCGCGACGGCCCCGCUACCUCAGGGGAGCCCGAGCGAGGCCCCAGGGAGCCCAGGGCGGCCGGCAGGACAGGCCCCGACGGCGCCUCUUCCUCAGGGGAGCCCAGGGCGGCCGGCAGGACAGGCCCCGAUGGCGCCGCUUCCUCAGGGGAGCCCGAGCGAGGCCCCAGGGAGCCCAGGGCGGCCGGCAGGACAGGCCCCGCGGCCCCAGAGCGGGCGCUGCUCUCCCCGCUCCACGGUCUCCUCCGUGGGACCCCGCCGGACAGUCCCGCGACCACGGGGCGCCGCCGGCUGCCGCUCUCCCGAGGCCCGGCUGAGGCGACAACCGCGGCCACCGCACGGUCCCCUCAGCAGGCGCGCUCCAGCUGCCGCAGCCGGGAACGCCCAGGGGCCGUGA